AGUGAACGCUGGCGGUAGGCCUAACACAUGCAAGUCGAACGAGUGGCGGACGGGUGAGUAAUACAUCGGAAUCUACCCUGUGGUGGGGGAUAACGAAGGGAAACUUACGCUAAUACCGCAUACGAUUGAAUGAGCCGAUGUCGGAGUAGCUAGUUGGCGGGGUAAAGGCCCACCAGGGCGACGAUCCCUAGCGUGUCUGAGAGGCUGACCAGCCACACUUGAACUGAGACACGGUCCAGUCUCCUACGGGAGGCAGCAGUGGGUAAGAUUGCACAAUGGGCGCAAGCCUGAUUCAGCCAUGCCGCGUGUAUGAAGAAGGCCCUCGGGGUGUAAAGUCCUUUCAGCGGGGAGGCGUUACCCGCAGAAGAAGCACCGGCUAACUCCGUGCCAGCCGCCGCGGUAAUAC
rnacentral:rRNA from 1 species